rnacentral:ribozyme from 12 species
AUCGCGUACAUAUGCAUGCAAUCCAUCAAAUAUCCUCCUUUUAAAAAAAAACACACACACACACAAGUACAAUUACAAGUACAACAAAUGUGUUGUUAUUGUCUCUUUUUCUUGUCUCUUGCAUUUUUUCGUUUGGAAUUUUUUGUAUUCUUCUUUUUCUU